UACGUAGGGGGCAAGCGUUGUCCGGAUUUACUGGGCGUAAAGAGCGCGUAGGCGGGUCCGCGAGUCUGCGGGGAAAGCCCCCAGCUCAACUGGGGAAGUGCCGUGGAUACUGCGGGUCUUGAGGAGGGUAGGGGCAGAUGGAACUUCCGGUGGAGCGGUGAAAUGCGUAGAUAUCGGAAGGAACGCCGGUGGCGAAAGCGAUCUGCUGGACCCUUUCUGACGCUGAGGCGCGAAAGCCAGGGGAGCAAACGGG
rnacentral:rRNA from 1 species